rnacentral:rRNA from 1 species
GACGUAGGGCGCGAGCGUUGUCCGGAUUUAUUGGGCGUAAAGAGCUCGUAGGCGGCUUGUUACGUCGUUCGUGAAAACUUGGGGCUCAACUCCAAGCUUGCGGUCGAUACGGGCAGGCUAGAGUUCGGUAGGGGAGACUGGAAUUCCUGGUGUAGCGGUGAAAUGCGCAGAUAUCAGGAGGAACACCGGUGGCGAAGGCGGGUCUCUGGGCCGAUACUGACGCUGAGGAGCGAAAGCGUGGGGAGCGAACAGG